GGAUCAUUACCAAAAGGCCACGGGGGCAUGCUUUCCGAAAGGACAGUCAGUAGAUGUCCGGUUCUACUGGCUGGGCAGCGGAAACGGAAGUACGCUGAGCUAGCUGCCUAACUGAACCCUACCCUUGCUUUUUGCGCACCCAUUGUUUCCUCGGCAGGCUUGCCUGCCAGUAGGACCAUUUAAAACCUUUUGUAGUUGCAGUCAGCGUCAGAAAUAACAUAAUUGUUACAACUUUCAACAACGGAUCUCUUGGUUCUGGCAUCGAUGAAGAACGCAGCGAAAUGCGAUAAGUAGUGUGAAUUGCAGAAUUCAGUGAAUCAUCGAAUCUUUGAACGCACAUUGCGCCCCUUGGUAUUCCAUGGGGCAUGCCUGUUCGAGCGUCAUUUGUACCCUCCAGCCCUGCUGGGUGUUGGGUGUUUGUUCUGUUUUUGCACAGAACUCGCCUCAAAUGAAUUGGCAGCCAGCCGUCUAGUUGUAGAGCGCAGCACAUUUUGCGUUCUCUCCUAUGUGUGGUGGCGUCCACAAGCCUAAACCUUUACGCUUGACCUC
rnacentral:rRNA from 1 species